rnacentral:rRNA from 1 species
GCAGAGUUCUCGGAGUCACGAAGAGUUUGAUCCUGGCUCAGGAUGAACGCUGGCGGCGUGCUUAACACAUGCAAGUCGAACGGGAUCCAUCAGGCUUUGCUUGGUGGUGAGAGUGGCGAACGGGUGAGUAAUGCGUGACCGACCUGCCCCAUACACCGGAAUAGCUCCCGGAAACGGGUGGUAAUGCCGGAUGCUCCGACUCCUCGCAUGGGGUGUCGGGAAAGAUUUCAUCGGUAUGGGAUGGGGUCGCGUCCUAUCAGGUAGUCGGCGGGGUAACGGCCCACCGAGCCUACGACGGGUAGCCGGCCUGAGAGGGCGACCGGCCACAUUGGGACUGAGAUACGGCCCAGACUCCUACGGGAGGCAGCAGUGGGGAAUAUUGCACAAUGGGCGCAAGCCUGAUGCAGCGACGCCGCGUGCGGGAUGACGGCCUUCGGGUUGUAAACCGCUUUUGAUCGGGAGCAAGCCUUCGGGUGAGUGUACCUUUCGAAUAAGCACCGGCUAACUACGUGCCAGCAGCCGCGGUAAUACGUAGGGUGCAAGCGUUAUCCGGAAUUAUUGGGCGUAAAGGGCUCGUAGGCGGUUCGUCGCGUCCGGUGUGAAAGUCCAUCGCUUAACGGUGGAUCUGCGCCGGGUACGGGCGGGCUGGAGUGCGGUAGGGGAGACUGGAAUUCCCGGUGUAACGGUGGAAUGUGUAGAUAUCGGGAAGAACACCAAUGGCGAAGGCAGGUCUCUGGGCCGUUACUGACGCUGAGGAGCGAAAGCGUGGGGAGCGAACAGGAUUAGAUACCCUGGUAGUCCACGCCGUAAACGGUGGAUGCUGGAUGUGGGGCCCGUUCCACGGGUUCCGUGUCGGAGCUAACGCGUUAAGCAUCCCGCCUGGGGAGUACGGCCGCAAGGCUAAAACUCAAAGAAAUUGACGGGGGCCCGCACAAGCGGCGGAGCAUGCGGAUUAAUUCGAUGCAACGCGAAGAACCUUACCUGGGCUUGACAUGUUCCCGACAGCCGUAGAGAUACGGCCUCCCUUCGGGGCGGGUUCACAGGUGGUGCAUGGUCGUCGUCAGCUCGUGUCGUGAGAUGUUGGGUUAAGUCCCGCAACGAGCGCAACCCUCGCCCUGUGUUGCCAGCACGUCAUGGUGGGAACUCACGGGGGACCGCCGGGGUCAACUCGGAGGAAGGUGGGGAUGACGUCAGAUCAUCAUGCCCCUUACGUCCAGGGCUUCACGCAUGCUACAAUGGCCGGUACAACGGGAUGCGACACGGCGACGUGGAGCGGAUCCCUGAAAACCGGUCUCAGUUCGGAUUGGAGUCUGCAACCCGACUCCAUGAAGGCGGAGUCGCUAGUAAUCGCGGAUCAGCAACGCCGCGGUGAAUGCGUUCCCGGGCCUUGUACACACCGCCCGUCAAGUCAUGAAAGUGGGUAGCACCCGAAGCCGGUGGCCUAACCCUUUGUGGAUGGAGCCGUCUAAGGUGAGACUCGUGAUUGGGACUAAGUCGUAACAAGGUAGCCGUAGUCCUGUGUGAAGUGAUCCGCUAAUCUCGACCUGC